CGUGUGAACUUGCCCGCUGAAUCAAGCUAACUUUGCUACACUAGCUUGAAGUGAUUCCGUGAUCUUUGGUGACUGUGGUUGUAAACGCUGCCAGGAACGGUUGAAACUUCUCUGACCGUGGUUGCAAACACUCUCGGAGUGGUCGUGUCCACGGUCAGAACAGCUGCACACAAGCUGCUGUCGCUUUAUAAAGGUUUACACAACAUGCUACCAUGUUCAGAAUGACUGUGAAGUAGGAGGAUUCAGCUCGCAGGCCCUUGGAGCUGGAAAGCAUCACGUUAAACAUCUCACCCUCCAAACUACUGAGCAUAGAAGCACCUGCAGCACCUCUGGCAACCCCAGCUCCAGCAGCUGUGUCACCGGCAGCAGAACCAGGUUUUUUUUUAAAUAAGAGGUUUCAGGGCUGGAGUUUGAUUCCCUCACAUGACGAAUAUCCCUCCUAAACCGAGACAUAAGUUGUGGUUUUCUUUUUGUUGUUUAUGCGUUCUGGUUUCAUUCUGGCUACGUUCCAGCCAAGUUCCUGUUUCAGUUUGGCCUAAUUCCCUUACGGGCCGUGAAUUGAUUGCCAUAAAGGCUAUGAAUUGAUCCCUGCAGUGAUGAUCAGGUUUCAAACACGAGUUUAAGUAAAACCAUUUCUUUUCUGUAUAAAUGUCAGGUACUAACACUGAAAUGCUUGUUCAUGAAGUCAUAUUGUUUCUCCUGCUUAGAGCCGAUACUAAUUAGAAAGGUUAAAUGAUCUUUUCCUUGCAUCUGCUGGAAUUAGACCUAAAAAAACAAAAACUGAGAAGCUCUGACAAGCAGGAGAACUAAGACUAUUUCUGCUGUUUGAGUUCCUACUAACACCAACAUUUGGACACACUGAAUGCUGGAUGACUUAUUUUUCUCUUUAGCUGCACUGCUGUCCAGACCUCCUGCGUCACAGUAACCGAACCACGGGCAUCAACAGCUGGUGCCUCAACAACUGUAAAGCAAAGAGCCGCUGUGCCUCUACCACCACAGCUGGUGUUCCUUACAAAGGAAGAGUUGAACUAGUCAGUCAGAACCUGAGUCAGUCACAGGUCCCAGCACAAGCACUGCUGCCUCCUCUGCAAAGAGAGAACUUGUUAUAGAGGAUACCAGUGAAGAUGCACAGCCACAAGCUGUUGUUCCCCCGCCUGACCAUGACAUGGGCAGCUGGAACUGUUCUCCACAACAAAAGCUGUGGAUGAAGAUGGAGCUUAAAGACUUUGGGCUGUGGCCUGGGUCAGGCCCAGUGCGUAAACCAGGAAACACCAUCUCACUGUGGCGUCUCCCUCCGCAACCAGAGCUCAUGGCUGACCUGCCUUCACCAAACUUUUUCCAGCUGCAUCCGUUUUUCCUUUGGAAGCCAGAGAGUGAUAUCAUGGUGAGGCUACGGAACAACUACAUCCUGCCCUGCCUCUAUGGCUGUACCCAUCCACAGGUGGUGUCAUCUGGUGUGGGCAGACCACGAGUAAUUGUUGGCACCAGCGGGCAGUACUACAUCCUGGCUUCACGGCUCCGUUGCAGGGUCUGUCAGAGGUGCUGGUUUGCAGACAAACCCGUGCUGGCUGGAGAAGUUGCCUCAGCGCUUCACCAACAUUCUGCCUGCUUUUGUGACCUACAAAAAGGCCAUCUGUAGGUCUGUCAUGGACGAGCUGCGGUGAACCGGCAAGUCUCCUGCAGACAUAGCAAAUCAGAUAAAUGAGCUCAUACAUCUCAAGUAUGAACGAGCUCACCUGGCCUACUUGCAUGCUAUUGAAAAAGACGCAGAGGCAGGCAGGUAUGGGCAGCAGAGGACUAUCAGCCAGUUUGUCAGGAAGGACAACACACCACGGAACUUCUGGCCUUUUGAUGACCCCAAUGGUUGGCGCGGCGUCUCUGUGUCCAGCUACUACCUGACAGACUGUCUGCUUGAUGAGUUUAAACGUCAGGAGCCAACCACCUUGUUUAUCAAUGCUUGUUUAUAUUGUUUUAUUUAACUUAUCUUAUUGUUAUUAUUGUUAUAUUUAUUGCAUUCUAUUUGCCUCUAUUUUGCUUUGUACCUGUAUAUAUUGUGUCU